rnacentral:sRNA from 1 species
UGGGUCGGUCCGGAGUGGCUGGGUUACCAAAGCAACAGCAACAACAACAACAACAGCAAUUCUUAUCAGCAGCAGCAGCAGCAGCAGCAAACCCAGCCACGCUAAUUUGACCGACCU